GAACAAGAAAAUGUUUAGUUGGAUUGGGAGCUGCCAAGACAGGGGCAUUUAUCAGUGCAUUUUUCAGAUGUUGAAAUGCCUGCUCACACUCUGGGAUCCAGGUUACUUGGCGGGAAAGGUUCUUACGGGUCAGGUCAGUAAGGGGUUUGGCCAGGGCACUAUAAUUGGGGACGAACUUCCUAUAAUACCCUGCCGUCUCGAGAAACGCUAGCACUUGCGUCUUAGUCCUAGGGGUGGGCCAC